rnacentral:rRNA from 1 species
CAAUAGCGUAUAUUAAAGUUGUUGCGGUUAAAAGCUCGUAGUUGGAUUUCUGUCUGACGACUGCAGUCCACACUCUCGUGUGAGAAUCUGUAUAUGUCGGGCAUCUUCCUGAGAAACGCUGCUGCUAUUCAUUUAGUGGCUUUGUGACUCUGGACUUUUACUUUGAGGAAAUUAGAGUGUUCCAGGCAUGCCUUUGCAUUGAAUACAUUAGCAUGGAAUAAUGAUAUAGGACUUGUUGGCUAUUUGUUGGUUUUAGCUGGUAAGUAAUGAUUAAUAGGGACAGUUGGGGGCAUUCGUAUUUAACUGUCAGAGGUGAAAUUCUUGGAUUAGUUAAAGACGAACUACUGCGAAAGCAUUUGCCAAGGAUGUUUUCAUUAAUCAAGAACGAAAGUUAGGGGAUCGAAGACGAUUAGAUACCGU